AUGAAAUGUGUAAGUAGGAGAAGUGUGUUUCAAAACCAUUUUUUCUGACUCAGUAUCUGUUUUUUGGACCACAGCUCUCUAUUAAAUCUUCACUGAUCAUUUCAACUACCUUCCCAUUUAAAUUCCUCAUCCCAUGAGCAUCCCAUGAAUUAGCACUUCCAAGACAUCAUGACCGUGAAGUACCCUCUAUGUCACUGCCCUCUUCCUUGCUUAGCCAUCAACCUUGCCUUACACAUCACUAGAAUCAUCUAGACCAAAAAGACAUUAAGAUUCAUAGGCAUUUGAUUUGCCAAUCGCAUUGUAAUUUUCUACUUAAAAACUCAACUAUUUGCUUCCUUGUCCUCAGUUUCAAGGGACAGGUGCACUUUUUUUUUUUUUUGGAAACUUAUAUUCAUGGCCUCUGCUUUGGGUUCUAUCCUCUCCUGUCUUAGUACUGAAAUGUUUCUGUAGGUUUAGGACAUUCCCUCUUCUACAAUUUUACUUCUCUUUCCAGUCACUCUUCUGUCUCUACAUAUAAAAAUAAAGUACUUUCCACAGUAAGUAAAAUGUAACAACAACAAAAUUCCCAAAUCUGUGCACUCCUGCAACUAUCGCACUAUGUAUUUAUUCAUGUUUAUCUCUGUAUUCUGCCUCCUUUUAUUCAAAUUUUCCUCACCCAGGCUCUUCAAUCACAUGCAAACAGGUAUCUUUCUCUCUUGGGCAGCUUUAACCAAUGGUGCCAAUAGCCAAAUGUAAUGGAAACUUCAUAUUUCUGACUUUAUUUGAUGUUUGUUGUAUCAAGUAUUAUUAAGCAUUUUCACCUUCUCUAAACUCUUUCCUCUACUGAAAUUUUGUCAUGGUUCACCUUAUAUCACUAGAAAACAUUCCUCUCUAUGUAUUUUAUGGGUUCUAAAGUUCCGUUCAAACUUAAGCACUGAAUUAAACAGAAAGCUCUUAGCUGUUAUCAAUUGUGUUAUUC
rnacentral:lncRNA from 1 species